rfam:Oryza barthii chromosome 1, whole genome shotgun sequence.
UACAAUGUUUGACUCUUCGUCUUAUUUAAAAAAAUUAUGAUUAGUAUUUUUAUUGUUGUUAGAUGAUAAAACAUUAAUACUACUUUAUGCGUGACUACUUUUUUAAAAUUUUUUUAUAAUUUUUCAAAUAGGACGAACGGCCAAACAUUGGAUAAAAAACCC